AGAGUUUGAUCAUGGCUCAGAUUGAACGCUGGCGGCAUGCCUUACACAUGCAAGUCGAACGGCAGCAUGGGUGCUUGCACCUGAUGGCGAGUGGCGAACGGGUGAGUAAUGCAUCGGAACGUACCCGGAAGUGGGGGAUAACGUAGCGAAAGUUACGCUAAUACCGCAUAUUCUGUGAGCAGGAAAGCGGGGGAUCGCAAGACCUCGCGCUUCCGGAGCGGCCGAUGUCGGAUUAGCUAGUUGGCGGGGUAAAGGCCCACCAAGGCAACGAUCCGUAGCGGGUCUGAGAGGAUGAUCCGCCACACUGGGACUGAGACACGGCCCAGACUCCUACGGGAGGCAGCAGUGGGGAAUUUUGGACAAUGGGAGCAACCCUGAUCCAGCCAUGCCGCGUGAGUGAAGAAGGCCUUCGGGUUGUAAAGCUCUUUCGGCCGGGAAGAAAUCGCACAGGUUAAUACCUUGUGUGGAUGACGGUACCGGAAUAAGAAGCACCGGCUAACUACGUGCCAGCCGCCGCGGUAA
rnacentral:rRNA from 1 species